rnacentral:rRNA from 1 species
GGUUUAAUUCGAUGAUACGCGAGGAACCUUACCCGGGCUUGAAUUGCAGAGGAAGAAUUUGGAGACAAUGAACGCCCUUCGGGGUCUCUGUGAAGGUGCUGCAUGGUUGUCGUCAGCUCGUGCCGUGAGGUGUCGGCUUAAGUGCCAUAACGAGCGCAACCCCUCUCCUUAGUUGCCAUCAGGUCAAGCUGGGCACUCUGGGGACACUGCCACCGUAAGGUGUGA